UCUCGAUAGCGUAAAAGUUAACUCACAUUUGUAUAGAGAUGGAAUGUUUGUCUACGUUUGCCGCUAGGGACGCUGUUCCAACUGCAUACAAAUUGGAAUUAACUUUUACGCUAUCGA
rnacentral:pre_miRNA from 9 species